rnacentral:lncRNA from 1 species
GGUCAAAACUGGGUUGAAUAUAUUCCCCUCGUCUGUGGUUUUCAAAUCUCUGCAGCCACGAAUUUCCUCCUUGAACCACACACGAUGCCACCACAAUUGCAGGCUGUAUUAAUGAAGAAAUGCUCCAGUUGCAUUCUCUCUUAAGUCAUUCUUUUUUUUUUUUUUUUUUUUUUGACACGGAGUCUCGCACUGUCACCAGAGCUGGAGUGCAGCGGUGCGAUCUCGGCUCACUGCAACCUCCGCCUCCCAGGUUCAAGUGAUUCUCCUGCCUCAGCCUCCCGAGCAGCUGGGAUUACAGGCGCCCGCCACCACGCCCAGCUAAUUUUUUGUAUU